rnacentral:rRNA from 1 species
UAGGGAAUCUUCCACAAUGGACGCAAGUCUGAUGGAGCAACGCCGCGUGAGUGAAGAAGGUUUUCGGACCGUAAAGCUCUGUUGUUGGUGAAGAAGGAUAGAGGUAGUAACUGGCCUUUAUUUGACGGUAAUCAACCAGAAAGUCACGGCUAACUACGUGCCAGCAGCCGCGGUAAUACGUAGGUGGCAAGCGUUGUCCGGAUUUAUUGGGCGUAAAGCGAGCGCAGGCGGAAGAAUAAGUCUGAUGUGAAAGCCCUCGGCUUAACCGAGGAAUUGCAUCGGAAACUGUUUUUCUUGAGUGCAGAAGAGGAGAGUAGAACUCCAUGUGUAGCGGUGGAAUGCGUAGAUAUAUGGAAGAAUACCAGUGGCGAAGGCGGCUCUCUGGUCUGCAACUGACGCUGAGGCUCGAAAGCAUGGGUAGCGAACAGGAUUAGAUACCCUGGUAGUCCAUGCCGUAAACGAUGAGUGCUAAGUGUUGGGAGGCUUCCGCCUCUCAGUGCUGCAGCUAACGCAUUAAGCACUCCGCCUGGGGGAGUACGACCGCAAGGUUGAAACUCAAGUGAAA